GCUCCGGAAGACUCAGUUUCCCUGGGCGGGGACUCUGUGUGGGGAGAUGCCCUGCAGAGGGAACCCAACCAGUGGCCUAGUGGUCUCUGGCGGGCGAGCGUGAACGAGGUCCUGCUUGAUAUCUAGAAAAAUUUCCCCAUUGCCUUGAAGGGAAAAGAGCUGGAGAAGGAGGGUGAGAGAUUCUGAAAAGUUGGAACGCUAACUGAAGUUCUGGGACCUCGACGACACUUUACAAGUUGUAGUCUGUGCGGGUGGAGUUGCGAGAGAGAAAACUCCUAGCUUCAAAGAUUGCUUAUCUCCCGCGCCCUUGAACUUCAUUCUUUUCCUUGAGAAACUCAGCCUAGCUGCAGGCUCUCCCGGCAAGUGCUAAUGGAGCUUCUUGCCUGCCAAGUUUGGGUGGCUGGAAAAGGGGGGAGGGGGAGAUGAAAAAAAAACGGGGAGGGGGGGGGCGGAAACUGUGGGAUUGCCCUCCUCCCUGGGAGAACUGCAUCAGAGUGUUGAUAGCUGGCCUGAGGUGACUGUGGGGGAAUCACUUAUCAUAGAGCUGUGAAAAUUCACAGGAAGAUAUAUUUUUUCUUCCCCCGGAAUGUUUGUGAGGAGGGAGAGAGUGAGUAUCAUCGGAGAAAGCAGAUUUGUCACCAAAAGAGCAAAGCUGCCAAAGGUCUCAUCGCUUGUGGUGAUGGUCUCAAAGAGACUGUGCUGAUUAGAGGGACUUGAUAAGAAGUAGAACCCACUAUCCAGAGGAGUGUUGGGGACAUUAGUGUUUGGAGGGCUCCAGGGGAAGUGGAAGCUGGCUACUCUCUUCUCCAGCUCCUUAAAGCUCUCAGGUCCAAUGUGUGUUUGCUGGGCAGGGGUGGGACAAGAGGCUGCCCUUAGCCAGUGUGGAGUCAGUAAAGAAUGGAGUGUGUGUGUUUUAAGUAUGGUCAUAAAGGAGAUGGAAAAUUUCCACUGGGUCUUGAGUGAGGGAUUCUACUCUGCAAGUGUGUUGUGUUGAGAGGGGGGCGGGGGGAGGGGUGGUGACCUGGCAGGAAAGAAAACCAAGGUUGGAGAGGCACUGCUGGUGGGUCGGCCUAGGGGGAAAUCUGGGAGGUGGUUUUGGUGGUCAGGUCAGUCCACUUGGCAGCCCAGGGUGUUUGUGUGACCCUGCAGUCACCCUUCUUGAAGGUUUCCUGGGACCCAGAGACACCCACCCUUCUCUGUCCCUGGGGGAGAACCCCUGGCUUUAUGGAGUGCUUGCAAGCAUCCUUUUUUGGAUUGCUGGAGGGCUGGGAAAGUUUUCUCCCUUCUCUCAUUAGGGCCCCCACCCAGAUUCCUCUUAGUCUUUCCUCCCAGUAGCCGAUGACUUUCUCUACUAGUUCCUGCUGUCUGCUUUUGCUCAGCCUAGAGCCUGGUGCUGGCCUGUGAGCUAGCAGGUGGAGGAAUCUGGGUGUGCAGUCUAUGGUCCAAGCUCUUUUCAGCUUCACAGUGGGUCGAGGCGUGUUCAGUUUGGUUUGGUAGUGUGAGUAGGGAGAGAGGGUUCUCAUCUCUAACCUAGAGAUUAGAGGUUUCGGCCUUGACAACAUGAGCGUGUUCCCAGUGGGCACUCCUGGGGUCCUACUGUGGGUCAGACUGACAAAGUUUCUUGUAAUUUCUAUGGGUUUAUUCAAGAAACAGCUUUUUUUUUUCCUUCCUCUUAAUAUGCUUCCUAGAACAAAGUCAAAUUACCAAGAAAUAUGCCAAACCCAGAACAGAGAGAGAGAGAGAGAGAGAGAGAGAGAGAGAGAGAGAGAGAGAGAGAGAUCCUUGCUCUGGCAGGGAUCCAGGCUCACUAACCCUCAGUUUGGUGCACUGCACAAGAGAUGAGAUAAUGCUUUUAAAAAUGGGAGGUGUGGGUGUGGGCCUGCUGGCUUGUUGACCUGCUGCCGCCUGACAGCAGCAGGCACCCUGCCUGUUGCCACCAGUAGAUGGCUCCCAACUGUCCUCGGGAAACUGGAGCUCGGAAAGUGUGCUCAAGCCCGUCUGCCUCCUUCCUCUUCCAGAACCUUCAAGCAUUCUCACUCUGGCCAGAUGCCAUGCUGCCAGGCAAGGGCACAGCAUGCCUAGCUGGGCCCCUGGUAAGCCCCCAUCACCACACCAAAAUGGCCUUCCCUCUCCCUGUUUCUUUAUCCACGGGUGUCUCUUUUCUCUUUUUUUUCUCCAAAACCCAUGGGACUGGCACAACCUUCUGGAUGAGGAGGAGUUAAAAGGUGUUUCUAUGGCAACUGCAGGCCCUGUACCCUAUUAAAGUGUUUAGAAGAAUAAACUACACAGACGCUUAUCAGAUACACUGUGGGGCAAAGAAAGAGACUUGGCAGCAGUCGCCUCACCUGGGGCCUUCUCCUUCCAGUCCUUGCUCCUCCUUCAAAACCUUGACUGAAGAAGCAGCGGGGAGGGCACUGGGAAUGAAAGAGGCAGGCUUGGCCAGGCAGACUUUGUUCUGGCCACCUUAGUUCAGGAAGGAUGGGAAAUGUUCAGAGCAUUCUGAAAACUGGAGUGGGGUGGUGUGUGUGUGUGUGUGUGUGUGUGUGUGUGUGUGUGUGUGUGUGUGUGUGUGUGUGUGUGGUUUUGGCAGAGGUGGGAGUAGUAGAGAAAACCCCCUUCUCUCUGUCUCCAUUCACAAGGAGUAAUUAGGCAGUGGCAUUGGUGGGAGUGGAGAGGUGUCAGCCCUGGGUCUGGGAGGAGCAGCUGACAACCUUGGAGAAUAGCCCUGAUAUCAUUGAGUUGUUUUGACAGGGACCACUGCCAGGGGCGUGUUCCUUCAGCAUCAGAUCUGAAGUGGUUUUAGCAAAGAAGCCAUUUGUAGACAAACGUGACCUAUGCCCUCUCACUCCUACAGGCAGACAGACACAAAGAAAAUGAAAUUAUGGAACUUUGGAGAAUUGACAACCACCUAGUGGGGAUGGUGGUGUGCGUGUACGUGCAUGUGUGCAUGUCCAUGUGUACCAAUGCUAAUAGUAUCUCGAGAAUCCUGGCCAGAGGAAGACUGCUGUUAGGCAAGAGGAAAGAAGGGACGGAUGCAUUCAGACUUGCAUGGGUGUGCAAGCAUGUUAGAGGUACUAUCUUAACUCCCCAGCAACCUUAAGUGGUAUUGCACCCAUUUCUCAGAUGGGAAAUACUGAGGCUGAAUGAGAUCAUGCAAGGCCACCCAGUAGUGGCCAGGCAUGCAUUCAGUCUUCAUGAUGAGACCUUUCACUAACCUCUGACAUCUUGCACUGACUUCUGACAUCCUAAGGCAGGCACCUGCACCUGGAAUCCAAAUGAAAGGGACAGAUGGCAUUUUCAUCUAGAUUAGAAAAGCUUUCCUCCAACCUUUGAAGGCAGCUAAAGGGGCCAGCAGUUUUAAUUAAGUAUCCUGUUUACGGAGGAAGAAUUGAUUAUAGUUUUAUAACGGAACAACAUUAAAAAAAAAAAAAGGAAAUUCCCUAUGUUCUUUAGCUACUAAAACCAGAAAAGACUCUCAAAAUUAUUAGGUCAGAGUGAAACUAAUUGUGUGUCACUAAGACCAGCGAACAGCAAGGCUGAUAGAAUCCAAACUUGCAGGAUGACUGUAGGAGACAGGAUUCCCAGGGGAUCCACCUGCCAGUGCUGAGUGGGAGGUGGAUGAGUGGAGCAUGAGGCAGGAAGGAAGUCUGCAGACUGGGGUCCUCGUGGGUGUAGAAGGUGCCCCUCUGACUGAUCUGUCCCUUUCCCAGUCCCCUGACAGACAAGACUAGAACAGGGCUGGGAAGUGGCUUUGCUGGCACAGCAGGAGCCAUUGAGCUCAGCUGCUGACUGGCACAUUCCAACAGGUUCAUUAAUGAAAAACAAAAACCAUUCCAGUCCCCUUUGGCUUUUAACACUUUAGCCUGUGCUAUGUGGACACGAAGGCCCCUUCUAACCACUUUUGUCACAUUCAGCUCUUGGGUGGUCUCUAGAGGCCAUGUGGGAUGGUGGAAGAGCCCUGGACAGGGCACAGCUGGGCUCAGAUCCUCCCCCCUCCCCAACCCCAGCAUCUUGUUGGCUUUGUGUUUAGGCUUUUAUUGGGUCCUUUCAGCCUUUACUCUCCUCGUGAUGAAAGGACACAGUAAUUUGUACUUUCAGACCUUUUUUUAUUCAUGCCUUUAAGCUUAAAGUUUUACAGUGAUGUGUUAUUUUAUGUUUAUGUAUCAUUUAUCCUAUCUAUCUACCUACCUAUCUAUCUAUCUAUCUAUCUAUCUAUCUAUCUAUCUAUCUAUCUAUCUAUCCAUCCAUCCAUCCAUCCACCCACCCAUCCACCCAUCCAUUUAUACAUGUACCUCCCUAUCUCUUCAUCUACCCACCUCUACAAAAUCAAAGAAAGAGCAAGUCGCUUUGGAUCGCUGCUUCAAUCAAUACUACUUCUUUCUAUUCUCCAUCUGCAUCCUUACAUCAUUAUCCGAGGAACAUUCCCAGAAGUUUUGCUUCAUUAGAAAGUUGUAAAGUUAGAAGACUGAAUACUGGAGUGACCUUGGUGUCGUUUCUGUUCAAUCAUGUAUACCAGGGAGUGAUAUACAUAUACAUGUGGGUAAUUGUAGUCUUGCUCUCCUUAGUAUUCCAUGGGAUGAUAAUUUUUUUAAAACCCAAUGCUGAGUUUUAAGAUAGAAUGAUUACUGUGUGCUAGGCAUCAUUCCAAAUAAUUAAUAUGCAUUAGUUCAUUCAAGUCUCUCAACAGUCCUACGAGGCAGAUGUACUAUUAUCAUCUUCACUGAAAAAAGCUGCAGCUCAGAAAAAUUCAGUAAGUUGUUCAGUGCUAUACCUGGUAAGUAGCAGAGACUAGUAUUUACACCCAUGUAUCCCACCUCUCUGGUGUCUCCAGCUAGACUAUAUAACAUUUAUAGUGCUAUAUGUGGUGAUAUUACUAUGACAAUAUAAUAUUCAUUUAGAUCUACCAUCACUUUAUUUAGAUAUCUCCUAUUUAUGGAUAGCUAUGCUUCUAACAACUUUCACCUUCCUAAGAGUGCUAGAACACAUGGUCACUAUAUUAUCUUUUGCUGCUGUGCGUGGAGAAGCCUCUAUGGCAAGCGUACAUUUGGAAGUAUUGGUGGGAAGGAAGGACACUGUAUUUUCAGCUUUGCUGCAGUCCACCGCCAGAGCUGCAUGUUGACUCUGUCCUUUUUAGGUUUGCAAUCAGAGGAUGGGAGAUGGAGGCAAUAGCACAGUGUUGUGCUGCAGAUACAUUCAGGCUUCUCUCAAAUGGAAAACAAUUUUAGACAUUUCCUUGGUAUUCUGACGACUUCUGCUUUUGGUCAGCCUUUUUAUCUUUUUGAAAGGGAACAAAAUUAAGGCCACUUAGGCCAAGUUAAUGGGAUCACUUUCAUACCAAGAGAAGGUCUUAAGUGGUAGGACAGCCACAGCUCUUGACUUGUGGCUGGGCUACUUUAGUUAGAGAUGGCUGUAGGCUUUUGCUUUUAUAAUACGUAGGGCGCUUUUCAUUACUGGAAACUUGUUUGGACUUUGGUUUUUGCAUGAACUCAGGUUCAAAAGUGCAUGUGUGAAACUGGGACAUAGGCUUUUGUGCCCCUAGUUGGGCUCAGGGUGACAGCAAGAAGACUGAUGCCUUUGUUCCUUCCUGCAGUGAUUGCUCAUCUGGAUAGUGCUUGGAUGGAAAAAUAAAAUGGCUGCAAGGACGGCGGUAAAUAGCUGAGACAGAGUGGGCCUGGCAGAGAAAGACUCUGGGGUCUUGACAUUAGGAAACCUGCUUUAAGAAAUGAUCCCACCAUCCUGACUAGAAGUCUUCAGUGGGUUAAUGGGGUAAAGUUAUAAUAAAAUGGCUUUUGUAAGGACUGAUAAUGGGCCCUGCCCAUCUCUUCAUUGGUCUUUCCUGCUUUCCUGGUGAUCCUGUUUUCUGCCGGCUCUUGACCCAUGCAUGCUAGGUCCUCCCAUCAUACAUCCUCAUGAACUUCUCAUUUUCUGGGUCUCACUUGGUCCUGUUUUCUGCUAUCUGUAGGACACCAUUUCUACUAAAAGUCAACUCCUCUGAAAUUCCAUGAGGCCUGCCCAGAGGGCAUCAUCCCAAAGCCAGAACCACAAGCCUGCUGAGGCACCUGUUUUGUUCUCUGCUUAUGUGAUAAUUCUAGCCCCACCAUACAGUGGAACAAACACAACAGCAUCUUCCUAAUCAGACCUAUCAUUGAGGUUGCAAUUACUAUCACAACGGCCAUGGGCUGAGCUCCUCACUUGUGUAAAGAUGAGGCAUUCCUUCUCAUGUGCUACCCACUCAGUAGCCUCAGGUUGAAAAAGGAAAACUUCCUGCCUAACAUCAGACAAGAAACAGCCCAGCCUGAAGCUAUAUCGCCAAAGACUGUGUUCAGGAUCAUUCUCUCCUGUAGAUUUAGGGUCUCUUCUCCUGGAGACUAAGAAACGCAGCUCUCUAGAACAGGGAAGGUCCUCCUUCUUUUGCAACAAUGUGCAACUUUGGCACAUUGGUCUCUGACUCACACUGUUGGAACGCUCUGGGGCCAUUCCCUUUGACAGCCUCUCUGGUCCCUGCUGUCCUCAAUUUCAUUAUAGUGUUAGUUAUUUGGAGUUCUUAAUGGAACCAAGCCACACGAAAAAUCCAUGAUUUCUAGCCUAGAUCUCUAUCUUCACCCUUAUUGAAUCCAUCCUUCUUGAUACUGAAAAAUAUUUUAAAAUCCACUUCUCCAUCAGUGGAUAUUGCUUCACAGCUUCAUGUGUGGAGUAUCUAUUCCCAGUCCUAUAAACAAACAGUUUAAAACAGAAAAUUGCCACAAUGCUAGCAGGUUCAAGUUGGACAUAUUGGCUGCCAUGCUAAUUGAUUGCAGCCCAAAGGACGCUUGGGACUCUCCUGAGCCUACUGAAGUGUUAGAAGAGUGUAUAGAUCUCUAAGUAAGGUCAUGGACCUUGUCACUUCGCUGACAUUAUACCUGAUGUGUCCAGGACUAGUGGAGAAGCAAGAAGUUCCUGGGUCCCAUUGUGUUGGAUACCCUUUGAGGAUGUGGCCUGGGUGUAGCAGGUUGAAACACCAUCAGCAUAAUAGACUAAGCUUGGGUCUAGCUAAUUAGCAUAUAGCAGGAGGCCACAAGAUGUCUCCGAACUGUGGUGGGACCAAUGGGUCUUUGGCUCAUUUACUUAAUGAAGUGUGUCUGGAGAUGCAGAGGGGCCUGGAGAAGUCUUCUGUGCGACUGAGACAGCCUGGCUGCCACCAAAGGAGUAGUCUCCACUGCACAGCACUGCCCGACAUGCAGGUCUGAUUUAAUGUCACAUAUUUCUUAUCACCUACCCGUGUCAUUCACAUCUGGGACACUAGGGACUUCCAGUAGUACUAGGUCUGUGCCACCUGGCAGAAGAAAGGGUGAAGGAGAAGAAAAUGGUUUGGCUUCAGAGAGCCACGGUAAAGUUCAGCCAGUGACUAAUAGCUCUGGGAUGAUGGGAUGAGGGGGUGAAGGUGUGGGGAUUCAGGGCAAGGGUAGAGAGGGGGAGCCUUGAGCAGAGCAAGCUCUAGAAGCACAGAUCUUCAACAUCACAAGGUAGUUAGUCUCUUCACCCCAACUUCUGCACAGCUUCUGUCCUCCCAGGAAUGCUUGUCCCAGGCAGGCAACCUGGCUACCUGAAGAGAAGUCUGUUGGAUUCGGAUAUCAGGUCCUUGUGAGACCCAGGCUAGGGCAAGGGGAAGUGACAAGGGGGAAAGUGUGAUGGUAAGGUUUCAUGAGCUAAGCUGCUUGGCUAAGUAUGCACAUUAAAAAAAAAAGCAGGGUGGUGGGAGGGUCACUGUUCCCACUUGAUGGCUAUCAAUACUGAUACGGUAUGUGUGGUUGGGUAGCUAUCAAUACUGAUAUUGGUGGUAUGGCUGGGUAGCUUCACUGUAGAGUAGAUCCCAUGCCUUCUGAAGACCAAGUCCAGUGGUAUUCAUGGAUUAGGGGUUGCCCUUCCCCAUUUAGACUCUUCUAAGCACAUUUCCUUCUGAUAGGUGGAAAGAAGUGGAGAUACUAGAGUAGCUGAAGGGAGUGUUCUAGAAGCUGGUGAUAUUAAACUUGGAUAACAAAUCAGUUCCUCCUGUCUCCACCCAGCUUGGGACUAGAGAGCCCGUGCUUCCUGUGUGUUGAUGUGACGAGAUCACUGGUCUCCAGUUAUGAGAUCUGAGGUCUGCCUCAAGUUUAUCAUCUGACUCUGGAAUUACCUUGGUGGUAUGAUCCUCCCCAGGAAUUGAUCUCUCAUCUGGACAAGUGAAGGACUGACUGUGUGUGUCUACUCUUUUGUGCAUGGAUGUUACUUAUUACGAUGGAUCCUGCAGUAGUAACAGGAAGACUCAGUAAAUCACACCAGAAGUUGGGAAGCAGAAUCUGUUUUGAAAACACUAGAUGAUGAUGAUGAUGAUGAUGAUGAUGACGACGACGACGACGACGACGACGACGACGACGACGAUGAUAAUGAUGAUAAUGAUGAUUAUUCAAUUUUGCUGUGGUAACACUUAAGAUCUACCCUCAUAACAAAUUGUCCACACUCAAGAUUCUAAGUAGCCAAGGGUGAUGUUUUAGGUUGAAUGGCCAUAAGUAAUAUCAUCCUGAAUAGGGAAGCUUUGACCUUUGUCCACUUUGUGCCCUGGUGGAUACGCCUCCCGCUCCCAGACUGUCUUCCUGGGAAAUCUGCAUUCAUUCAACUCUUACCAUGGCAACUAGAGCUGAAGGAUACAAACAAGAAGAGAAUGAUGGGGAGACCGGGAACGAGGGCCACAGGCAGACAAGGGGCCCUCAGAAUCUGUGACAAUGUCUAUUCUGACAAUAACUUAUGGAAAAUGCAAGCACUCUUCUGAUGUGUGUAUGCCCACCACGUCAGCUAAUUAGAAGAAGGUUACCAUAGAGAGAGAUAAUACAAUAGUUAAAAAAAAACCAAACCAAACCAAAACAAAACAAAAAAACCAAAAACCAGGAAAGCCUGGCUUAGGUCACAGUGCCCCACACCGUACAGACUAACUCUAGGAUUGUCAUGGCAGGAAAGUUAUUCUCAGUGAUCCUGCAAGUUCUGUCAGUCCAUUGAAAUGUGCCCAACUCACCAGUGGUUAAGCUGGCACAUCUGGAAGGUUAAGUAAGUGUGGCCAAAUGAUGAUGGACAGGAGCUUUAGAGUCAGGCCACCUGGACUGACAUGCUGGGUUUCCCAAUUCCUCAUUCGAUGAUCUUGGGAAAAAUCACUUACUCCCACAAGCUGCAAUGCUGUCAGAUGGUGCUAAGUCAGCACUUACUCUAGGGGUCUUAAUGAGGCUCAAACUGGGACUGUCCAUAUAAAGUACUCAGCACUGAUCAUGCGCAGUACCUGCAUGUAAGUAUUGGCACCUGCUGUAAUUGAUAAUGGUGUUAAUGAGUGACAUGCUCAAAGCCAGUAGAUUUCUCGUUAUUGGGCAAAGUUGUCAAUAGGCUCCGCUGACGCACUUUCUGGGUUCAUGUUAGGCUACAUGUAUCCAUUAUUGUAAAAGAAUAUUAGCAUAGCAUUGGGAAUGUGUCCCUCUUUGCUCUGUAUUGUUGCCCUUGGGAGCAUCUAGAAGCAGUGAUUAAGUGUGCUUCUGCAAGUAGCUUAGCUCACUUCAUAACAUCACUUCCUGUGCAUAGGUAGAGUCAAAAGCUACGGGUCACUUAGGUUCACUGAGGCAAAACACCGACUUCAGCGACGGAAAGGAGCAAUGCCCUGUGUUGUGCGUGUUUAUAGGAUGCCUUUUCUGAGGCAGUUGCUCUAGGUUAUGGGACCCUAGUGUCCUACAAUAAAGUUCGGUCAGACUUGUGUCCAGUUUAUCACAUCAGGCCUCUUUCAGAAUGCGUUUGUGCUGUUGACUAAUGGAAACCAGUGCACUCUGCAUGGCCCAUAAAACCAGAAGCCAUCCUAGAACCUAGAACGAAUCUACAUGAGCUCUGGAAACUGGAUCCAAUUUACAGUAGAGUCUUUAGACACCGUGAGGGCUUGAAGGAGCUGAGUCCUCCUGAAAGCUCUCAGCAGCUGUGGCACAGUGGCCCUUCCCUGAGUCUUCAGCCUUGGCAGUCUCCUCCAAUUCCUCAUUUCUGAUGCAUCUGACCUUUUGGUUGCACAUUCCAUGUUUGUUAAUUGUUGAGUAAUAGAAAAAGGGCGAGCUCUGGGGCUGGGUGCAUCUGUAUUUAAUUUCUAGUUGAUGACCUCUGACAAGUUCCUCAACUCCCCUGAGUCUUUUUUUUUUUUUUUUUCUGAAUCCAAUAAAAAAAAUACUCCGAUUAGUUUUAAGGAGCAGAUAUAUUAUCUGUAGGGGGUGUGUCUAGCUCCCUAUACUAUGUGACACAGUACCUGGCAUGUGUGUAGUAGACCAUCAGGAGGUAUCUGCUGAAUGCAGAGAGGGUUAGGUGCAGAUGUGGGUCCUAUACAGAUGUUGAUGGGAUAGAUGCUCUUUUCCCUCUAUCACUGACACUUCUCCUCUUCAAUUACACUGACCAGACCAAGGAAGAUGGUUCAGAAAUAAACGGUGGGAGUUGGCUUUAUAAUUCUGUCAUUGCCUACCAUGACCAGAAGAGGCAGCAGUUAGUGGGCUUUGACUAUAUUUUGUUUAAAGUAGGUGGGGCUUGAAGAGGCCCUUGGAGCUGAUCUCAGAACAUUCCUUCACACCCUCCAUGAUAGCUGUUUCUGAUUAACUGUCUUAGAUAUUACACACUUAGAGUUUUUCUCAUACCUGUUCUACCUGAGUGUCCAUCAUGCCCUGGGCGUGGGAGUUGUGAGCUGGGUGGGCUGGGACCAGUCACACUUGUUUCCAGUGGGAUCCUCCUAGCUAUUUCCACCAGCUAUUCACUACCUUGCUGGCAUGUAGAAACAGAGCAGACAUUUCUGAAUGCUCAAACCACAGUAACACCUCCUGCUCCUCCUGGUGCUUUCUGGGAACAGAAUCGCAGUCUGCAGGUCUGAUGUGCAGAGGGGAGGUCCCUUGGCUUAAUGGUGGUCCACUUCCUAGACCUUUCCCAGAAUCCCUCAGCUUUUCUCGCAAACAAAAUCCCAAUUAGGAAAAAAAAAAAAA